UUGGAGGGCAAGUCUGGUGCCAGCAGCCGCGGUAAUUCCAGCUCCAAUAGCGUAUAUUAAAGUUGUUGCAGUUAAAAAGCUCGUAGUUGAAUUUCGGGAUCAGUACGUUGGUCGUGCCUUAGGUACGUACUGGUGUUACUGGUUCCUACCUUCUGACGAACCAUCAUGUCAUUCAUUUGGUGUGGCGGGGAAUCAGGACUGUUACUUUGAAAAAAUUAGAGUGUUUAAAGCAGGCUCGCGCUUGAAUACAUUAGCAUGGAAUAAUGAAAUGGGACGUUCGAACCUACUUUGUUGGUUUCUAGGAUUGACGUAAUGAUUAAUAGGGAUAGUUGGGGGCAUUAGUAUUCAAUUGUCAGAGGUGAAAUUCUUGGAUUUAUUGAAGACUGACUACUGCGAAAGCAUUUGCCAAGGAUGUUUUCAUUAAUCAAGAACGAAAGUUAGGGGAUCGAAGACGAUCAGAUACCGUCGUAGUCUUAACCAUAAACUAUGCCGACUAGGGAUCGGAUGAUGUUAAUUUUUUAAUGACUCAUUCGGCGCCUUACGGGAAAC
rnacentral:rRNA from 1 species